CACCAUGCCCAGCUGACAAUUUAACUUUUUAAACUUUCCUCACAGAAUAAGACAAUUGAUAUAAUAUCAAAAGCACAUAAAAUAUACAUCUUUCUGAAGUCAAAGAGAUGGUGUUCAUAACUAACUGUUUUUCCACUAUGUUUUGUAAAGAAAGAUUAAUUAGGCAGAGUCAAAAAGUGGUGAGUUAGAAAAGCAUAUAAAUUUAUAAUAAAAAAUCAAAUUACCACAGAACUGAGGUCACUCUAAUGGAAAAAUAAAAAAGAAAAAUUAGAGUUAAAUGUUAAAGAAAAAGAAUAACUUUAAAACAAAAUGCAUUUCUGCAUUUUUAAAAUUUACUAAACAAGACAGCAUUAGUAAACAAGAAAGUAAACAGGAAGCAACAUAAAGAAUUUUGACAAACCAUUUUUCUAAAAAGGUGAAACUGCUACAGUUAAACGACAAUGGAAUAGAAAAGAACACUAUGGCUGAAUACUAAAACAGGAGCAAAUUGUUAAAGGUAUAUUUAGGGCAGAGAGGUAUAUAUCCCAUGCUUUUCCAGUUCUGUAACUUCUUUACCUACACUGUAAUUCCUCAUAGAUGACUUAGGAUGGAUAUACACUAUUGUCUACUUUCAAAAUAGAUACACAAUGUGUGCCUUCUCUAAAUUUAUGUAGCAACGGAAUCCUUUUUUUUUAAAAAAGGAGCACCUUGGGUAAUUAGAUUCCAUGACCAUACUUCAGGGAAUGCUGGGACACAGCACUUCAAACAAUUUAGAGUUUAUUCUCUUCUUAUUAGCAGAUUUCAUAGUUAGCCUUUAUUUUUAUAUGUAUUUCUGACACUACUUAUUUAUCAAGGGCAAUCUCAUUUAUCACCUCUUUCAUGAGAGGUAUACCUGGAAAUCAUUUUUCCCUUCUCUACGUUCCCAGAGGACUUAAACACACUUAAUGAUUUGGGGGGCAUGUGUGGGAGGGGCUUAUAUCAUAGUUCUAUUUGUCUCCUCCACUAUAGGCAAGUUCCUUGAGGACUGGAUGAUGUUCAGUAUUUGGCAUGGGGCACUACCCAGCAGGUCACUGCUGCAGGUCAGGUUCCUUAACUUUGACAUCUUAGAAAUCCUCCUUGUAACACAGGUGUUUUACUGAGUAAGAAUUCAGAUUGCUAAUGGCAAAAGUAUCUAUCAAAUUUGCCACAUGACUGUAAAUUUCUGAUCAUCUGGUUUUAGAAUAAUAGCGAUAUAAUAAAGACAAUCUUCAUUUCAUAACACUG